rnacentral:rRNA from 1 species
GUAGGGUGCAAGCGUUAAUCGGAAUUACUGGGGCGUAAAGCGUGCGCAGGCGGGUUUUGUAAGUCUGUCGUGAAAGCCCCCGGGGCUUAACCUGGGAAUUGCGAUGGAGACUGCAAGGCUUGAAUCUGGCAGAGGGGGGUAGAAUUCCACGUGUAGCAGUGAAAUGCGUAGAGAUGUGGAGGAACACCGAUGGCGAAGGCAGCCCCCUGGGUCAAGAUUGACGCUCAUGCACGAAAGCGUGGGGAGCAAACAGGAUUAGAUACCCUGGUAGUCCACGCCCUAAACGAUGUCUACUAGUUGUCGGGUCUUAAUUGACUUGGUAACGCAGCUAACGCGUGAAGUAGACCGCCUGGGGAGUACGGUCGCAAGAUUA